CUGUGUGGAUCCUGGAACAGAGAAUGGAAUCGUUGCAGCAUUUCAUUGAAUCCUGUUUAGAAGGAAAUGGCAAUUCAGUUACUUAGGGAAAAUCUGGAGCAAAUCAAGGUGUUUCACAAUACUUCUAUGCAGUUCAACAAAAUACAGCGCCUCAUUUACAGAGACUCGUAAUUAAACAAUUUCCAAGAUCUUGAUGAAGAUUUUACAUGUGUGGCAACAUCUAUUUUGCAUCAGCAUGAUCUGCCUUUGCCUGACACCUUGAGAGACUGGACCUCUUCUCAUCAUCUCUACAUAUAUAUGAGGGAGUGCAUGAUGCAUUUGAUGAUUCUUUAACAUCAUAAGAUGUUGUAGAAUAUACAUUUGUUUCCAUGACUUUGUACACCUGCUUUUAUUGCCAGCUGAUUUGUGUUUCAUAGUUUUAUGUAUUUAACUAAUCAGAUACAUUUUCAUGUAUUCACAUUUUCUGGGGGUGUUUUUUUUUUUAUCCUUGAAAUAUUUUAAAUGUGGAGCUUUACAGAAUUUCAUUUGGUAUGAAUGCUAAAGGCUAUUCAUGAACAGAAUUUGUUCUUUGAACUCUCCCAUCCCACUCCACCAUCCCCUACAAAAACAUCCAUGAAUUUUGUCCAAGCCAUACCUUUGUACUGUUAAACUUGCUAACCACAGGAGAAGUUUACAGAAAUUUUUUUUUAUUUACUAUGCAUUUAUAUAUUCAAAAUGUUUAGCACCUUCUGAUAUGUAUUAUUAAUGUCAGAUAUGCAUGAUUGUGUAAUAAAUUAUAUACAUGUAUUUAUUGAAUUGUCUUUGAUACUUAAAGUGUUUGUGCUUUAAUAGACUAUGGUUGCCAAAGCAAGGUUCUGAUCUAAAAUAGUCAUGUUGGUUGCUAUAAUGUAAAUUACAGUAUGCAUCCACAUACUUGUACAUAUAUGUUUUAGAUGUGCCAUUGUUUAAAUAUUUUAGGGUUAAUGUGAUUAAGACAAUAUAACUCUUUGAACCAUGAUUGGUGUUGAUUUCUCCUAAAACCCUCAUUAUAACAAUUAUUUAAAAGUAUUUUGGAAUUGAUUCUCAGUUCAAUGAAAUAUCUGUCUUGUGUAUAUACUACCGGUACGUCUCAAUGGAAAAAAAAGUUUAACCUUCUUAUAUGGAUGGUUUUCUGGUAGUCAUUCUUUGUUAAGAAACACUGGACCACUUGAAUAUGGCAGAUGCUUUAACAUGUUUUGGUUUUUAUUAUAUUUCAUGAAUUGAUAUAAGGUCCAUUUCACUUUUGGGGGUGGCAUGGAACCUGAAAUGAACAAACUUAAAAGUUCUUUACUCAAAGAUAAACUUUCUACUAAGUUUCAUUGAAAUGCCAAAUGAAAAAUUGAAAGAGGACUUGCAACAAUGACAUUCUGAUCAGACAAGCUUAUUGAGGUCUUUGGCUCAGUUGUAUGGAGUGCCAAAUCAAUAUAAACUCAAAUAAUUUAAGGCAUCUUUAAUUAUUUUGAAGAUACUAUCAAUUCAUUUGAAGCAUGCAACAAGUCAAUGAUCUCUUCAAAUAAUUUUAACAUAUUUUCAUUUCAGAAUUUUUGCAUACAUUAAUUGAAUUGGUGAUAGCAGUAAUUAUUCUGCUGAAUUGAUGUGCGCUAUGAUUGAAUUGUUGCUCUCUUGAAAUGAAUUGAUGAUAUCAACAACUGAAUUGGUGCAAGCUACAAUUCAAUUGUAGAGAGCAAUAAUUCAUUUAAUGUGCACUGUAAUUGAUGUAUUGCUCUCUACAAUUGGAUUAAAUAUAACAUUAAUUGACUGCAGAUGUAUGCAAUAAUUCUUUUAGAGAGAGCAACUAUAUAAUUAGAUAUAUCAUCAAUUCAACAUUUCUAUAAUUGAAUUAAUGAUCUUAUUGAAUUGUAGCUCUCUUCUGUGCAUUAAUUCUUAUACAAAAACAGAUUAAAAUAAUUAGAUAUCUUCGAUCAAAUCAUUUAUACUGAGCUCCAAAUUUGAAUGUGAGCAGUAUCUCCACCACAUUGAUAUACACAUCAAUUAGAUUAAUGAAAAGCAAUAACUGAAUCGUGCACAAAUUUAUUGCAUGACAAUCAUGGCAAAUAUAAGCCAGGUUUUUAAAGCUUUCUCCUUGUAAUCCUAAGGAUAUGUACAACAAUAUUUUGAUAUUGAAAAUUUUUUAAUUUACUUCAUUUUAAUGUCAAAAAUGCAGUUUUAGUAGAAAUCUGGGGACUCGAACGCACAAUCUACAGGUCAGCAGUCAGUUUGCUAACCUACUGAGCUACUUGGCUAGGUAUUUAAAUCCAAAAGGAAUGGAUAAAUGUUGCUGAUACUGAUUUUUUUCAUCCAUGUUUUAAAAGGAAAUCAGUCAUUAUGACGAUGUAAGGUACCUCCUUAAUUAUACAUUGUAUGCACCCUUAGAUGGUUGUGUGAAUAGCUGGGAAACAAUUAACUGCAUGACGUGUGUGUACUUAAUACCACCUUUGUGAAUUAUCUAAGCAGAAGGAUGGUCAUGUAUACAAAAUGAUGUGGGAUUUAGCGGUGGAGGUGCUAUACUUAAUUAGUACUGACACGCCCACUCCCCGGAUAGGGUUGUUCCUGUACCAGAAAUGGACACCUCAUGUGAUGACACCCUAUUCAGUAUAUUAAGAAAUCAACACAAAACACAGAUUAAAGAGAUCCAUGAAAGGUGAAGAUAACGAACAGUGAUCAAUCUCGUAACUCCUGUAAGCAAUACAAAAUAGAAAGGUGGGCAAACACGGACCCCUGAAUAUACCAGAGGUGGGACCAGGUGCCUAGAAGGAGUAAGCAUCUCCUGUUGACCGAUCACACGCGCCGUGAGCCCUAUAUCAUUUUGCGUAAUUAAGCCCUAGGGUGGCCUGUGUUACGAAAAAAAAAACUGCUUGUGCAGCUGGCCAAUGUGUUUGAUAAAAUUCCCUUUCUAUCUAUCAUGUCACAAAGAUAUAAAAUGUUAUACUCCAGUUCCAACAAAGAUUUAUUCAUUGAAUUAUUCACAUUUAUCAUCCUCCAAAAGAAACACAUACCAGGAUACCUUUUCGACAAUCAUUUCCAUAAUAAAGUCAAAGUGAAACUACGUCACGUGAUUUCCCUCUCGACCAACCGCUUGCACAGUCACGCAUGAAAUAAUAUCUGCCUUCACGCUUCAUAUAAUAUCUGCCAAUCUGAAGUCGGAGAUUAUUAUUGUGAAUCCGAGUCAGACAAACGUUUUCUGUUUCAAGCGUCCAAAUAAUAAUCUUGUCUUUUUGGCUGGUCCAGAAUUAUUAUUGUCAGUACAGAUUAUAUUCUCAGUAGCGUUCAAAUAUAAAAGAUAAUUAUUGUUGGCGAUGUUCAGUAAUUAUUAUGGUGGUGGAAAGAUUAUAUUUAUAAAGAUAAUGUGUGACUUUAAAUCGGGUCUGUUUUUAUAAUUAUUGCGGCAGUAUUUAUAAUUAUAAUAAUGUCAAUGAAGAAUAUUUUUCUUUUGGGGAUGAAAUUAUAAUUUGGUGUCUGAGAUUCGGGACAGAUUAUUAUUAUCGCUGCGAUAUAAUAAUAAUAUCGGCAAAUAGGGGGAAAAUUUUUAUUUUUCGAAGAGAUAAUAAUUUUGGUAUUUUAUAUAGGGAAAAAUAAUAAUAAUGUGGGGGUACCCUACGGCUUUCCAUAAUUAAUAUAUAAAAAACGAAAUCAAUAUCUAAAAAACGAAAACUAAUUAAAAAAAAAAAAAGAAGUUAUUAAAUAAAUAUAAAAAAUGAAAUUAAUAUCUAAAAAACGAAAACUAAAUAAAAAAAGAAGUUAUUAAAUAAAAUAUGAAAACUAAAUAAAAAA